rfam:Puccinia sorghi strain RO10H11247 Scaffold_326, whole genome shotgun sequence.
GACUUGGUAGCCUAGUUGGUAAAGGCAGAACUUCUAGUAUAGUUUCUUAGAUUCUAGCUAAGGUCGCUGGUUCAAAUCCUGCCCAAGUUU